rnacentral:snRNA from 1 species
CGAUGUGAGGAUGAUCUGGCUGCGACAUCUAUCACUCCAUUGAUUGCCAGGGUUGACCCGACUGAUCUGGCUGGUUAGGGGGGUGGGAGGGAUCGGGGUGAAGGAGGAGGGGGUGUCCCCCCCUCCUCCUUCACCCCGAUCCCUCCCAAAGCUGCGUGCUGGAAGAGGAGAGGAUGGGUCAAGGGUGUAUGAGUAGCUCCUGGUAGAACCUCCAAGCAAGCUCUCAGAAUAAAGGGGAUGUGAGUUGGCAACACCUGUCUAGAGUAAGCCAGUACUUUGUGGU